rnacentral:rRNA from 1 species
CAGUCGAGCGGACUUUUAAAGCUUGCUUUUGAAAGGUCAGCGGCGGACGGGUGAGUAACACGUGGGCAACCUGCCUGUAAGACUGGGAUAACUUCGGGAAACCGGAGCUAAUACCGGAUAAUAUAAGGAACCUCCUGGUUCUUUAUUGAAAGAUGGUUUCGGCUAUCACUUACAGAUGGGCCCGCGGCGCAUUAGCUAGUUGGUGAGGUAACGGCUCACCAAGGCGACGAUGCGUAGCCGACCUGAGAGGGUGAUCGGCCACACUGGGACUGAGACACGGCCCAGACUCCUACGGGAGGCAGCAGUAGGGAAUCUUCCACAAUGGACGAAAGUCUGAUGGAGCAACGCCGCGUGAGCGAUGAAGGCCUUCGGGUCGUAAAGCUCUGUUGUUAGGGAAGAACAAGUGCGAGAGUAACUGCUCGCACCUUGACGGUACCUAACCAGAAAGCCACGGCUAACUACGUGCCAGCAGCCGCGGUAAUACGUAUGUGGCAAGCGUUGUCCGGAAUUAUUGGGCGUACAGCGCGCGCAGGUGGUCCUUUAAGUCUGAUGUGAAAGCCCACGGCUC